UUGAACGCUGGCGGCAGGCUUAACACAUGCAAGUCGAGCGGGGAAAGGUAGCUUGCUACCUGACCUAGCGGCGGACGGGUGAGUAAUGCUUAGGAAUCUGCCUAUUAGUGGGGGACAACAUCUCGAAAGGGAUGCUAAUACCGCAUACGUCCUACGGGAGAAAGCAGGGGACCUUCGGGCCUUGCGCUAAUAGAUGAGCCUAAGUCGGAUUAGCUAGUUGGUGGGGUAAAGGCCUACCAAGGCGACGAUCUGUAGCGGGUCUGAGAGGAUGAUCCGCCACACUGGGACUGAGACACGGCCCAGACUCCUACGGGAGGCAGCAGUGGGGAAUAUUGGACAAUGGGGGAACCCUGAUCCAGCCAUGCCGCGUGUGUGAAGAAGGCCUUUUGGUUGUAAAGCACGUUAAGCGAGGAGGAGGCUACCGAGAUUAAUACUCUUGGAUAGUGGACGUUACUCGCAGAAUAAGCACCGGCUAACUCUGUG
rnacentral:rRNA from 1 species